rnacentral:rRNA from 1 species
AGUAAGCAGAGGAACCCCAUCAAACUUGGAUUUUGUAAGUAGUUGCGAAUGAACACAAAUUUGAUCACUUUGGCAAUCUGUACACAUUGCUGUGUAACAAUUUGUAUACGUUGGCACAGUGCUAUCAAAGCUGCAUGCAAGUGUUUUUUGAAAGGAUACAACAUGGGAUGUGAUAUUCAUGUGUGUGUGCCUGCUUUGUCCACAGCCUGUGCUGUAUGAAUCACAUUUCUUGCAACUGAAAUGCUAAUGGCAUGGUAAAGUUCAUGUGACAUGACACAAGCUUGAGAUUCAUGAUGUGCAAGUACCAUGAGGGAAAUGUGAAAAGGACUUUGGAAAGAGAAUUAAAUAAAGCCUGCAUUUGCUGACAAUGAAAGCAAGUGUGGAUGUUCAUGUAAUUGUUACUGCAUCAAUCAAUGUUCAUCUUGGUUACUGCAUGCUUUAUAUUACAGCUCAGAACAUGAAGUGUGUGUAACAGCUCUGCUUUGAUUUUUCCCACAUGGGAUCAGUUGAAACAUUGUGAGAGCACUCUUCAGUUUCCUUAUGUACCCACCAGCUUUGUCCACUCGCGUGUUGGCACACAUGUAAUGAUGAUGUGUUUAUGCAAGAUACUUCUGUGCUCAACAACAUGUUGUGUCAAUCCUCACUUGACCCG